rnacentral:rRNA from 1 species
AAAACGACUCUCGGCAACGGAUAUCUCGGCUCUUGCAUCGAUGAAGAACGUAGCGAAAUGCGAUACUUGGUGUGAAUUGCAGAAUCCCGUGAACCAUCGAGUCUUUGAACGCAAGUUGCGUCCAAAGCCAUUAGGCCGAGGGCACGCCUGCCUGGGUGUCACAC